GAUGAAGAACGUAGUGAAAUGCGAUAAGUAAUGUGAAUUGCAGAAUUCAGUGAAUCAUCGAAUCUUUGAACGCACCUUGCGCUCCUUGGUAUUCCGAGGAGCAUGCCUGUUUGAGUGUCAUUAAAUUCUCAACCUCACCAGUUUUGUAACGAGACAGGUGAAGGCUUGGAUGUGUGGGGGAUUUGCAGGCUGCCUCAGUGCUGGUCUGCUCUCCUGAAAUGCAUUAGCGAGCUCAUAUUGAGCUUCCGUCUAUUGGUGUGAUAAUUAUCUACGCCGUGGAUUGGACUCAUGCUUGCUUCUAACCGUCCGCAAGGACAAUUUACUUGACCAAUUUGACCUCAAAUCAGGUAGGACUACCCGCUGAACUUAAGCAUAUCAAUAAGCGGAGGA
rnacentral:misc_RNA from 1 species